rnacentral:rRNA from 1 species
UACGUAGGGGGCAAGCGUUGUCCGGAUUCAUUGGGCGUAAAGAGCGUGUAGGCGGCCAGGUAGGUCGGUUGUGAAAACUGGAGGCUCAACCUUCAGAGGUCGACCGAAACCAUCUGGCUAGAGUCCGGGAGAGGAGAGUGGAAUUCCUGGUGUAGCGGUGAAAUGCGUAGAGAUCCGGAAGAACACCAAAGGCGAAGGCAGUGUCCUGGCUGGCUCCUGACGCUCAGGUGCGAAGGUCAGGGGAGCAAACGGG